AGCGAACGCUGGCGGCAGGCCUAAAACAUGCAAGUCGAACGCCGUAGCAAUACGGAGUGGCAGACGGGUGAGUAACACGUGGGAACGUGCCCUUUGGUUCGGAACAACACAGGGAAACUUGUGCUAAUACCGGAUAAGCCCUUACGGGGAAAGAUUUAUCGCCAAAGGAUCGGCCCGCGUCUGAUUAGCUAGUUGGUGAGGUAACGGCUCACCAAGGCUACGAUCAGUAGCUGGUCUGAGAGGAUGAUCAGCCACACUGGGACUGAGACACGGCCCAGACUCCUACGGGAGGCAGCAGUUAGGAAUCUUGGACAAUGGGCGCAAGCCUGAUCCAGCCAUGCCGCGUGAGUGAUGAAGGCCUUAGGGUUGUAAAGCUCUUUCAGCGGGGAAGAUAAUGACGGUACCCGCAGAAGAAGCCCCGGCUAACUUCGUGCCAGCCGCCGCGGUAAG
rnacentral:rRNA from 1 species